GACGAACGCUGGCGGCGUGCCUAAUACAUGCAAGUUGAGCGAUGAAGAUUGGUGCUUGCACCAAUUUGAAGAGCAGCGAACGGGUGAGUAACGCGUGGGGAAUCUGCCUUUGAGCGGGGGACAACAUUUGGAAACGAAUGCUAAUACCGCAUAACAACUUUAAACAUAAGUUUUAAGUUUGAAAGAUGCAAUUGCAUCACUCAAAGAUGAUCCCGCGUUGUAUUAGCUAGUUGGUGAGGUAAAGGCUCACCAAGGCGAUGAUACAUAGCCGACCUGAGAGGGUGAUCGGCCACAUUGGGACUGAGACAUGGCCCAAACUCCUACGGGAGGCAGCAGUAGGGAAUCUUCGGCAAUGGACGAAAGUCUGACCGAGCAACGCCGCGUGAGUGAAGAAGGUUUUCGGAUCGUAAAACUCUGUUGGUAGAGAAGAACGUUGGUGAGAGUGGAAAGCUCAUCAAGUGACGGUAACUACCCAGAAAGGGACGGCUAACUACGUG
rnacentral:rRNA from 1 species